rnacentral:rRNA from 1 species
GAUGAACGCUGGCGGCGUGCCUAACACAUGCAAGUCGAACGAAGCACCUUACCUGAUUCUUCGGAUGAGAGUUUGGUGACUGAGUGGCGGACGGGUGAGUAACGCGUGGGUAACCUGCCCUGUACAGGGGGAUAACAGCUGGAAACGGCUGCUAAUACCGCAUACGCGCACGAGGAGACAUCUCCUUGUGUGAAAAACUCCGGUGGGACAGGAUGGGCCCGCGUCUGAUUAGCUGGUUGGCAGGGUAACGGCCUACCAAGGCAACGAUCAGUAGCCGGGCGGGGAGGGGGAAACGCCACAAUUGAAAUGGGGCCCAGUCCCAAACCCUACGGGAGGGAGGAGUGGGGGAUAUUGCAACAUGGGGGAAACCCUGAUGCAGCAACGCCGCGUGAGUGAAGAAGUAUUUCGGUAUGUAAAGCUCUAUCAGCAGGGAAGAUAAUGACGGUACCUGACGAAGAAGCUCCGGCUAACUACGUG